GCCGAUGUAGCACAGUGGUAGUGCAGCUGAUUCGUAAUCAGCAGGCCGUGGGUUCAAAUCCCAUCAUCGGCU
rnacentral:tRNA from 8 species